rnacentral:rRNA from 1 species
UACGUAGGGUGCAAGCGUUGUCCGGAAUUAUUGGGCGUAAAGAGCUCGUAGGCGGUUUGUCGCGUCUGCUGUGAAAUCUGGGGGCUCAACCCCCAGCCUGCAGUGGGUACGGGCAGACUAGAGUGCGGUAGGGGAGAUUGGAAUUCCUGGUGUAGCGGUGGAAUGCGCAGAUAUCAGGAGGAACACCGAUGGCGAAGGCAGAUCUCUGGACCGUAACUGACGCUGAGGAGCGAAAGCAUGGGGAGCGAACAGG